AGUUAUUAUAGGAAUUAAUAGUGUUACCUGCUCUAUGCGCUGGUAAAUGGCUGCAGUAAUCUGACUGUACUAAGGUAGCAUAAUCAUUAGUUUCUUAAUUAGGGACUGGGAUGAAGGGUAAAAACCUUGCAGAGAGUUUUAUGAGAAAUUUUUGAAAUUAAAUUAAAAGUAAAAAUGCUUUUAUUAAUUUUUGGGACGAGAAGACCCUAGAAGCUUUGAAUGUAUAAUUUUUGGUUGGGGGGACUUUAAGAAGAUAAAAAUCUUUUUAUUAAUGAAAGUAAGAAGAACUUAAGUUACUCUAGGGAUAACAGCGUAAUUUAGUUUUGGAGUCCUUAUUUAAAAUUAAGUUUGCGACCUCGAUGUUGAAUUAAAUGUAGGUUAAAUGGAGAGGUUUAGUUGAGUAGUCUGUUCGACUUUUAGAAAUUUACA
rnacentral:rRNA from 1 species